rnacentral:rRNA from 1 species
GUAACCUGCCUGUAAGACUGGGAUAACUCCGGGAAACCGGGGCUAAUACCGGAUGGUUGUUUGAACCGCAUGGUUCAGACAUAAAAGGUGGCUUCGGCUACCACUUACAGAUGGACCCGCGGCGCAUUAGCUAGUUGGUGAGGUAACGGCUCACCAAGGCGACGAUGCGUAGCCGACCUGAGAGGGUGAUCGGCCACACUGGGACUGAGACACGGCCCAGACUCCUACGGGAGGCAGCAGUAGGGAAUCUUCCGCAAUGGACGAAAGUCUGACGGAGCAACGCCGCGUGAGUGAUGAAGGUUUUCGGAUCGUAAAGCUCUGUUGUUAGGGAAGAACAAGUGCCGUUCAAAUAGGGCGGCACCUUGACGGUACCUAACCAGAAAGCCACGGCUAACUACGUGCCAGCAGCCGCGGUAAUACGUAGGUGGCAAGCGUUGUCCGGAAUUAUUGGGCGUAAAGGGCUCGCAGGCGGUUUCUUAAGUCUGAUGUGAAAGCCCCCGGCUCAACCGGGGGAGGGUCAUUGGAAACUGGGGAACUUGAGUGCAGAAGAGGAGAGUGGAAUUCC